rnacentral:rRNA from 1 species
CAAUAGCGUAUAUUAAAGUUGUUGCAGUUAAAAAGCUCGUAGUUGGAUUUCUGGCCGAGUGUCCCUAGGCCAGCAUGACGUUUGGUCCUAGGCGCUCUGCCAUCCUUCUGUCAACCUUCGCCUUCUUCAUUGGGGGCGCUGGGGCUCAGAUAUUUUACCUUGAGAAAAUUAGAGUGUUCAAAGCAGGCCUAUGCUCUGAAUAGGUUAGCAUGGAAUAAUAGAAUAGGACUUUGGUUCUAUUUUGUUGGUUUCUAGGACCGAAGUAAUGAUUAAUAGGGACAGUUGGGGGCAUUCAUAUUCCAUUGUCAGAGGUGAAAUUCUUGGAUUAACGGAAGAUGAACUUCUGCGAAAGCAUCUGCCAAGGAUGUUUUCAUUGAUCAAGAACGAAAGUUAGGGGAUCGAAGACGAUUAGAUACCGU